rnacentral:rRNA from 1 species
AAUCAACGUUGGCGGCGCGCCUAACACAUGCAAGUCGAACGAGAAAGUGGAGCAAUCCAUGAGUAAAGUGGCGUACGGGUGAGUAACACGUGGGUAAUCUGCCUGUUAGUGGGGAAUAACCCUGGGAAACCGGGGCGUAAUACCGCAUAAGUUCGUAAGAAGAAAGUACGAAAGACGCUGACAGAGGAGCCCGCCGGCCGAUUAGCUAGUUGGCAGGGUAAAAGACCUACCAACGGCGACGAUCGGUAGCCGGCCUGAGAGGGCACACGGCCACACUGGCACUGAAACACGGGCCAGACUCCUACGGGAGGCAGCAGUGGGGAAUCUUGCACAAUGGGGGAAACCCGUGAUGCAGCGACGCCGCGUGAGUGAU